AUUGAACGCUGGCGGCAUGCCUUACACAUGCAAGUCGAACGGUAACAGGUCUUUCGGGAUGCUGACGAGUGGCGAACGGGUGAGUAAUACAUCGGAACGUGCCCAGUAAUGGGGGAUAGCUCGGCGAAAGCCGGAUUAAUACCGCAUACGCCCUGAGGGGGAAAGUGGGGGACCGCAAGGCCUCACGUUAUUGGAGCGGCCGAUGGCUGAUUAGCUAGUUGGUAGGGUAAAGGCCUACCAAGGCGACGAUCAGUAGCUGGUCUGAGAGGACGAUCAGCCACACUGGGACUGAGACACGGCCCAGACUCCUACGGGAGGCAGCAGUGGGGAAUUUUGGACAAUGGGGGAAACCCUGAUCCAGCAAUGCCGCGUGUGCGAAGAAGGCCUUCGGGUUGUAAAGCACUUUUGUCAGGGAAGAAAUCCUUUGGGCUAAUACCCUAGGGGGAUGACGGUACCUGAAGAAUAAGCACCGGCUAACUACGUGCCAGCAGCCGCCGUAACAC
rnacentral:rRNA from 1 species